rnacentral:lncRNA from 1 species
GGCUUAGCGGAUAUUAGUAUUUAUUAUAAAAAGGCAGCUGAGAGGUGGUACAUGGAAAUGAAGUACGAAAGUAAUCAAGUGUGUGCUGUACUUAGAAA